GGCGGCGUGCUUACACAUGCAAGUCGAACGAGAAUCACCGGAAGGAGUUUUCGGACAACGGAAGGUGAGGACAGUGGCGGACGGGUGAGUAACGCGUGAGGAACCUGCCUUUCAGAGGGGGACAACAGUUGGAAACGACUGCUAAUACCGCAUAACGCAUAGGUAUCGCAUGGUACUUAUGCCAAAGAUUUAUCGCUGAAAGAUGGCCUCGCGUCUGAUUAGCUGGUUGGUGAGGUAACGGCCCACCAAGGCGACGAUCAGUAGCCGGACUGAGAGGUUGACCGGCCACAUUGGGACUGAGAUACGGCCCAGACUCCUACGGGAGGCAGCAGUGGGGAAUAUUGGGCAAUGGGCGCAAGCCUGACCCAGCAACGUCGCGUGAAGGAAGAAGGCUUUCGGGUUGUAAACUUCUUUUGGCAGGGAAGAGGAGAAGACGGUACCUGCCGAAUAAGCCACGGCUAACUACGUGCCAGCAGCCGCGGUAAUACGUANGUGGCAAGCGUUGUCCGGAUUUACUGGGUGUUAAGGGCGU
rnacentral:rRNA from 1 species